rnacentral:rRNA from 1 species
CAUUAAAGAGUAUGAUGCCCUUCGGGGUAUACCUCCCACCCUUUGUUUAUUAUACCUUUGUUGCUUUGGCAGACCCGGCUUCGGCCCACCGGCUCCGGCUGGUCAGUGUCUGCCAGAGGACCUAAAACUCUGUUUGUUAAUAUUGUCUGAGUACUAUAUAAUAGUUAAAACUUUCAACAACGGAUCUCUUGGUUCUGGCAUCGAUGAAGAACGCAGCGAAAUGCGAUAAGUAAUGUGAAUUGCAGAAUUCAGUGAAUCAUCGAAUCUUUGAACGCACAUUGCGCCCUCUGGUAUUCCGGGGGGCAUGCCUGUUCGAGCGUCAUUACAACCCUCAAGCUCUGCUUGGUAUUGGGCGUCACCACUCGUGGUGUGCCUUAAAAUCAGUGGCGGUGCCAUUCGGCUUCAAGCGUAGUAAUUCUUCUCGCUUCUGGAGUCCGGGUGUGUGCUUGCCAGCAACCCCCAAUUUUUAUAAGGUUGACCUCGGAUCAGGUAGCGAACCC